CAAAAUGGAGUACUUACUGUUAAGGAGACAGCCACUACCCGACGCGCUCCCUUCCCUCUCCUGACAGUCACCCACUUAACUGCCUCCUAUGGCUCUGGGGUGACUACCUGCCUGUAGCUCCUAUUUGUCUCACUCUCCCUAACAAGCCGAAGGUCAUCGAGCUGCAGCUCCGGUUCCUUAACUCCGUCUUUAAGGAGCUGCAGCUCGAUGUACCUGGUGCAGAUGUGGCCAUCGGGGAGGCUGGAAGACUCCUGGACAUCCUACAUUUGACACCCAGAACAGAAAACUGGCCUCGCAGUCAUACCCACUAUUCUAAUGUGUCAAGCCCUGCGAAACACUCCUUUGCUUUAAAGCUCUUCUCCCUGACCUGUGCAAAGCUCUGUCUCUCUCUGAAUCGAUUGGUCUGCCGCUAAUGCAAUAGGGAAUAGUGAAAGGGGGGGGGGAGGCGUAAUCAGAAAUGAGAAAUAGGUGUUCAUGCCAUCAUGUUGGAGGCUGCACAGAUGGAGUAUAAGGUGUGGCCUGUGGGGGAGGCCAUGGAUGGACAUAUCGGAAUGGGAAUGGGAAGUGGAUUAAAAAGGGUGAUCCCGCUUGUUCUGGCGGACGGAGCGUUGUUGCCCAGCAAAGUGGUCUCCCAGUCUUCGUCGAGUCUCACCGGGAGCACCUGAGACAGUAAAUGACCCCAACAGCCACAGGUGAAGUGUUGCUUCACCUGGGAGGACUGAUUGGGCCCUGAAUGCUAGUGAGGGAGGAGGUGUAGGGGUAGGUGUAGAACUUGUUCCACUAGCAAGGAUAAGUGGCAGGAGGGAGAUCAGUGGGGAGGGAGAUUACUAGGUUAAUUGGUCAUUGUAGUUGGUGCUGUGGUUAGGCCAGGGUUCAGUCCGGCGGGUGCUGGGCGAAGGGCCUAGUCCAUGCUUUAUCUCAGUAAAUAAAUAAAUACUCAGCACAUCAGGCAACAUCUGUAUAUGAAAAACCAGAAUCAUUGAACUGAUGUUCAGAUCCAAGAUCCUUUUGUUUCUCCAGACUUGCCGAUGAGAUCCAUUUUUGCUCCAUCUAGUAAAGGCCUCAGUUUCAUUCAUUGCUCGCCAAUGAUGGGAUCUCAAACACUGUAUCUCAAUAAAUAAGUAAAUGAAUUCACAUUGGUAUUAUGUCUUUGAACAACAGCACCAAAUAUAUUUAUUGUGCCUGAAGAGCACCGAGAAGCAAUUCCAGUACAAAAGUGUCAGCAAUUCAUCAGGAUGGAGCAAACUGUGUCAACUUGAAAUGUUUCCUGUGACACAACGCAGGCAUCUUAGUUCUUAACCCGAGGUGCUUGGCCCUAAACAUCAACUGUUUAUUCAUUUUUGUAAAUACUGCCUGACCUGCUGAGUUCCUCCAGCAUUUUCUGUGUGUUGCUCUGGAUUUCCAGCAUCUGCAGAAUCUCCUUAUGUUUAUCCUCUUCGCCCUCAGCUGCUUAUUGUCUUUCAUCCAGCUUUUCAUUGCUGCUAUUUGUCCUUAAAUAGCUGUCAAAAUUGACAGAUCGUAUGUUCUCACAACAUCCAUAAAGCAUAUACCCGAGCAGCCACUUGUGGGGGCUCUGCCCGGAAUUGCUAAAAGUGCAUACCAGAAUCAUUUAUCACCUAAAUAUUCUCAGCACUACUCACAAGUAAUUAGGGAAUGCCGAAAGUGGGACUUCCCAGUGGCCAAACAUUUCAAUUCCGACUCUCCUCCCUGUUCCGACAAGUCGGGCCAUGGACUCCCCAUGUGCCAAGAUGAAGGAGCAACAACUUAUAUUUCAUCUGGACUCCUCCAAUCUGAUGGCAUGAAUAUCAAUUUCUUCUUCUAGUAAAAAAAGUUUCCUUGCCAUCCCCCUUCUGUUUCCCACUCUGGCCUCUCAUCUCUUCUCACCUCCCCCUGGGUCCCCUCCUUCCCUUUCUCCUCUGGUCCCUCUCCUCUUCUAUCAGAUUCCCUCUUCUUCAGUGCUUUUCCCUGCGCACCCAUCUGGCUUCACCUAUCACAAUCCAACUAGUCCUCCUUCCCUUCACCUGACCUUUUUAAUCUGGUGUCUUCUCCCUUCCUUUUCAGUCCCGAGGAAGGGUCUCUGGUCAAAACGUCAACCGUUUAUUCAUUUCCAUAGAUGCUGCCCGACCUGCUGAGUUGCUCCAGCCUUUUUAGUGUGUUGCUCUGGAUUUCCAGCGUCUGCAGAAUCUCUUGUGUUGAUGAAUCACGACGCUGCCUGACCAGCUGAGUUCUGCCAACGCUUUGCUCUGACGGAAUUUGAUGACAAAACACAGUUGCUCUGCAAGACACUUAUGGUCACCUAGUCUUCCCAAUAUACAGAAGGGUGCAUCACAGCCUGGGAUGGAGACACCAAUGUUCUUGGAUGGAAAACCCUACACCAAGUAGGUCCAGUCCAUCACAGGUAAAGCCCUCCCAACCGCUGAGCACAUCUACAUGAAUCGCUAUCCCAGGAAAGCAGCAUCCAUUAUCAGGGACCCCCUCCACCCAGGUCAUGCUCUCUUCUUGCUGCUGCCAUCAGGAAGGAGCUACAGGAACCUCAGGACUCACACCAACAGGCUCAGGGUUCUUUUGAAGACCCUGACCUGGAGUUACACACAGGUUUCUGUUCUUUGCGGAAAUGGGACCCGUUCUCGGGGUUCCAUGACUGGCCGCUAUUCGACAUGCUAAGUGUUUGGCCUGAGAAUCCUGAUCGCGUUCGGAAGCCCCAAGAUGUCGGGGCUCUGGAGAUGGGCGGAUCGAGAGUCAGUGUCAUGGCAAGAGACUUGUGUGCCAUCGGGAAGUCCGGAAAAUCUUUUGCUGUGGGCCUGAAGACCCAAGCUCUUUGUGAUCUUCGGUCACAGAGCUCAAAAAAGGCAAUGAAACGGACUUUUAACAUCAUAAUCUAGCAGGUUGUUGUUAUGUCUGCUGCUCGCUGUGAAAAUGGGGGGCACCUCCCUCUCCUUUGCCAGGGAGAGAGAGAAUCUGUGGUUUGUCAAAUGUCGGAUGAAAUGUGAAGCCUUUGAGGUGACUUUGGUCUGUGUCUUUGCUAUUACUUAGCUCACACUUUGGCUUGGUGAUGGUACUGAUGUGCUUCUUUUUGCCAGUGGGGGUAGGGGGAUUGUUGCUUACUGCCGCUUAUGUGCAUGAGGGGGGAAUUGGGGGGAGGGCUUUGGGGUUCUCAUGUUUAACUUUCAUUCAUUCUUUGGGGCACUUCUCUGUUUUCGUGGAUGUUUGCGAAGAAAAAGCAUUUCAGGAUGUAUAUUGUUCACAUUGCUCUGGCAUUAAAUUUCACCUUUGAACCUUUAUUGCUUUUAUAUUUAUUAUUAUUAUUAUUUCUUUCUUUUUGCUUGCAGUUUGUUGUCUUUUGGUUAAACACAGAAGUUGAUUAUGCCUGCAAGAAAUUGAAUC